CAACAACUCUCUUCGGAACCGAACGUGAGCGGACGUGUGCGGACGCGUAGCUGCCGGGAAAAUAAGUUGCGUCGGCGUUGCGGCUUUGUUGUUUACGUGUUAUAAUAAAAUUGUGUGCGUGCGAGAAGGGCGCGCUCCUGCCUGUGUUGGUGUUGUUGUCGGUCGUUCUCAGCGUGUGUUUCGAAAUACCGCAUUGUUUAAUACAGCUCUACAGCCGCCGCGGAUAAUUUCAAUGCAAACAAAGGCUGGUGUGUGAAUGAAAUUAUGCUAAAAUAGAUAAUAGUCAAAGUCGAAGAAGAGCAAACAACAACAAAUUGCCAUCACCUUUGUCAGCAGAGAGAAGCCAAAAAGCAACAACUAAGCCGGCAUUGGAUGUGAAAAAAGAGAGAAAAACAGGGAAAACAACAAAACGCAACUGCGACGUCAGCAGAGCCAACGAAGAAGAGGAAGAGCCAAGCCUUGGUGGCCACAUUCCAACGUCAUCAGCCGGCGAAGGCCGGUGCAGCCGCCAAACCCGGGUCGCCGAAUUCUUUCUUUCGCCGGAAAACUCACAUCUCCCCAACUGAAAUCGCUGAAAGAACAUCUGCGU
rnacentral:sRNA from 1 species